AUUGAACGCUGGCGGCAGGCCUAACACAUGCAAGUCGAGCGGUAGAGAGGUGCUUGCAUCUCUUGAGAGCGGCGGACGGGUGAGUAAUGCCUAGGAAUCUGCCUGGUGUGGGGGAUAACGUUCGGAAACGGACGCUAAUACCGCAUACGUCCUACGGGAGAAAGCGGGGGAUCUUCGGACCUCGCGCCAUUAGAUGAGCCUAGGUCGGAUUAGCUAGUUGGUGAGGUAAUGGCUCACCAAGGCGACGAUCCGUAACUGGUCUGAGAGGAUGAUCAGUCACACUGGAACUGAGACACGGUCCAGACUCUACGGGAGGCAGCAGUGGGGAAUAUUGGACAAUGGGCGAAAGACCUGAUCCAGCCAUGCCGCGUGUGUGAAGAAGGUCUUCGGAUUGUAAA
rnacentral:rRNA from 1 species